UACAGAGGUCCCAAGCGUUGUUCGGAUUCACUGGGCGUAAAGGGUGCGUAGGUGGCCGGGUAAGUCUGAUGUGAAAUCUCCGAGCUCAACUCGGAAAUGGCAUUGGAAACUAUCCGGCUGGAGGAGUGGAGGGGGGACUGGAAUACUUGGUGUAGCAGUGAAAUGCGUAGAUAUCAAGUAGAACACCAGUGGCGAAGGCGAGUCCCUGGACACUUCCUGACACUGAGGCACGAAAGCUAGGGGAGCAAACAGG
rnacentral:rRNA from 1 species